AGAGUUUGAUCAUGGCUCAGGAUAAACGCUGGCGGCGUGCCUAAUGCAUGCAAGUCGAACGGGCGCUCUUUCGGGAGCGUGACCGUGGCGGACGGGUGAGGAGCACGUAGCUAACCUGCCCUGGUGUGGGGGAUAUCCGCGGGAAACCGCGUGUAAUACCGCAUGAGCUUGGUUGAGGGGACUCGACCAAGGAAAGCCGAGAGGCGUACCAGGAGGGGGCUGCGUCCGAUUAGCUAGUUGGUGGGGUAACGGCUCACCAAGGCGAUGAUCGGUCGCUGGUCUGAGAGGACGAUCAGCCACACGGGGACUGAGACACGGCCCCGACUCCUACGGGAGGCAGCAGCAAGGAAUUUUCCACAAUGGGCGCAAGCCUGAUGGAGCAACGCCGCGUGGGGGAUGACGCACUUCGGUGUGUAAACCCCUUUUCGAGGGGACGAAGGCAAUGACGGUACCCUCGGAAGAAGGAUCGGCUAACUACGUGCCAGCAGCCGCGGUAAGACGUAGGAUCCGAGCGUUGUCCGGAGUUACUGGGCGUAAAGCGCGCGCAGGCGGACACGCGCAUCGGCGGUGAAAGCCCCCCGCUCAACGGGGGAGGGUCCGUCGAGAUGGCGUGUCUGGAGGCAGGGAGAGGCCAGUGGAAUUCCGGGUGUAGUGGUGAAAUGCGUAGAGAUCCGGAGGAACACCAGUGGCGAAGGCGGCUGGCUGGACCUGACCUGACGCUGAGGCGCGAAGGCGUGGGGAGCGAACGGGAUUAGAUACCCCGGUAGUCCACGCAGUAAACGAUGGGUACUAGGUGUGGCGGGAGUUGACCCCUGCCGUGCCGGCGCUAACGCAGUAAGUACCCCGCCUGGGGGAGUACGGCCGCAAGGCUAAAACUCAAAUGAAUUGACGG
rnacentral:rRNA from 1 species